AUUGAACGCUGGCGGCAGGCCUAACACAUGCAAGUCGAGCGGAUGAAGGGAGCUUGCUCCUGGAUUCAGCGGCGGACGGGUGAGUAAUGCCUAGGAAUCUGCCUGGUUGUGGGGGAUAACGUCCGGAAACGGGCGCUAAUACCGCAUACGUCCUGAGGGAGAAAGUGGGGGAUCUUCGGACCUCACGCUAUCAGAUGAGCCUAGGUCGGAUUAGCUAGUUGGUGGGGUAAAGGCCUACCAAGGCGACGAUCCGUAACUGGUCUGAGAGGAUGAUCAGUCACACUGGAACUGAGACACGGUCCAGACUCCUACGGGAGGCAGCAGUGGGGAAUAUUGGACAAUGGGCGAAAGCCUGACCGAGCCAUGCCGCGUGUGUGAAGAAGGUCUUCGGAUUGUAAAGCUCUUUAAGUUGGGAGGAAGGGCAGUAAGUUAAUACCUUGCUGUUUUGACGUUACCAACAGAAUAAGCACCGGCUAACUUCGUG
rnacentral:rRNA from 1 species